rnacentral:lncRNA from 11 species
UUUUAGUAUUGUCUGCAGGCACUGGGUGUAUCUCAGCCUUGCAGUGAGAUUCUGAAGAUUUAUUAUUGCUGGUAAGCUGGGAAAGGCUAUUUCUAGAUCAGCAUAAAAUGAUGCAAGAAAACCGAACAUCGGGUUGUUGUAUGUCUUUCAGGCUAUGUGGCCAUGUUCCAGAAGUAUUCUCUCCUGACGUUUCGCCCACAAAAGACAUACAACAACCCUGUGAUCCCGGCUAUGAAAGCCUUCAACAACACAAACCGAACAUCCACUGGAGCAAGAGUCAUUGUUUCCAAGACCCUGAACUAUCCUCUAGGCCUGGAAAGUCCCUUGCCAAAGAUCUCAGAUUUUCUAGCUCAGGUCAUCUUCUCUGAAACUUGGGUGGAGAAGGAACAAGGAAGACUAGCACCAUGUAAGAUAACACUCAAAGUAAAGUUGGAGGAAGAAGAGGAAAUCUGGCUCAUGAUGACAUCAGCCUUUGAUUGUUGUGAUGAUGACACCAUUCAUAGGAAUCAUUUGAACCUGUCGAUCUCUACAAUCCAAAAAUUGAAGAUGAGUAUGGAGGAUUGUAAGGCUGGUCAGCUAGCGUACAAUUUCCUGCUGUCACCCAGCUUUUUUAUUGACUGAUUUGUUGAUCGCAGAAUCAUUACUGUUAGGCUCAAUACUGAUAAAAGUAUCAGUGUUGCCAUCUAUGCUGUCAAAUAUUUAGUAGGUUUUGUCUCUUCUAUUGAUAAGUGUUGGCCAG